CCCGUGCGUGCCCUAACCCCCUUCGAUGUCGUUUCUCCUGCCUUUUCUCUCGCGAGUGGUUUCUCUUCUUCUUUCCUCCCUCGACAGCCACUUCUCGCCACUGCCCGAAGCUCUCCUCUGCCGUCGCUAUUUGUCGUGGAGUUUCCAGUGUCAUCGCCGAUCCACUGUCGCCUUCCAUCUUCCUCGCGUCUUCUUCGCCUACCGCAGCCGUGCCCUAAUCGGCCGAGCCAAUUCCCCCUUUUUCCUCUCCCGUGGUCGACGCAGACGCCGACUCCUCGUUUCACUGCCGGCGCCGCCCCUCGCUAUGGAGAGUCCAGUGGCGCCGCCGACCUCCUCAGCUACCCUAGUUUGUGUUCACCGCCACUCCUCCUCAUCCCUAGAGCCGGCUGCCGUCACCUGGUGUUAGAUCUCUUCCUUUGUUUCGGCUAAAUGUUUCCAGACAGGUUGUACCGGCCAAACAAGCUUGAUCCGGUUAGAAGAAGAGUAUCGAUUUGGGGGGGUAAUUGCUUUGGGAAUCCACAGCUCCACCUUGCUUCGAUUAGGUUUAUCGGCAAAAGAUGUGAUUUUCGGCCACAAUUUCCAUCAAUAUCCCUGGCUGUGAAUUGAGGACUGAUUCGAGACGAGCGUCUUGACGUUGGAUUUGACUGGAUUAGACCUGCUAUUGGAGG